rnacentral:rRNA from 1 species
GACGAACGCUGGCGGCGUGCUUAACACAUGCAAGUCGAACGGAAAGGCCCUGCUUUUGUGGGGUGCUCGAGUGGCGAACGGGUGAGUAACACGUGAGUAACCUGCCCUUGACUUUGGGAUAACUUCAGGAAACUGGGGCUAAUACCGGAUAGGAGCUCCUGCUGCAUGGUGGGGGUUGGAAAGUUUCGGCGGUUGGGGAUGGACUCGCGGCUUAUCAGCUUGUUGGUGGGGUAGUGGCUUACCAAGGCUUUGACGGGUAGCCGGCCUGAGAGGGUGAGCGGACACAGUGGGACUGAGAUACGGCCCAGACUCCUACGGGAGGCAGCAGCGGGGAAUAUUGCACAAUGGGCGGAAGCCUGAUGCAGAAGCGCCGCGUGCGGGAUGACGGCCUUCGGGUUGUAAACCGCUUUCGCCUGUGACGAAGCGUGAGUGACGGUAAUGGGUGAAGAAGCACCGGCUAACUACGUG